rnacentral:tRNA from 1 species
GCAUUGGUGGCUCAGUGGUAGAAUUUUAGCCUUCAAUGCAGGAGACCCGUGUUCGAUUCCCAGCCAAUGCA